rnacentral:rRNA from 1 species
GCAGGCUGCAACCCGCCUGCGUGAAGUCGGAAUCGCUAGUAAUCGCGGAUCAGAAUGCCGCGGUGAAUACGUUCCCGGGCCUUGUACACACCGCCCGUCACACCAUGAGAGUCGGGAACACCCGAAGUCGGUAGCCUAACCGUAAGGAGGGCGCCGCCGAAGGUGGGAUUGAUGACUGGGGUGAAGUCGUAACAAGGUAAC